rnacentral:rRNA from 1 species
AACCAGCACCUCAAGUGGUCAGGAUGAUUAUUGGGCCUAAAGCAUCCGUAGCCUGUUCUGUAAGUUUUCGGUUAAAUCUAUGCGCUCAACGUAUAGGCUGCCGAAAAUACUGCAGAACUAGGGAGUGGGAGAGGUAGACGGUACUCGGUAGGAAGGGGUAAAAUCCUGUCAUCCUGAGAGGACCACCUGUUGCGAAGGCGUCAUACUGGAACGGAUCCGACGGUCAGGGACGAAGCCUAGGGGCACGAACCGG